UACGUAGGGCGCGAGCGUUGUCCGGAAUUAUUGGGCGUAAAGAGCUCGUAGGCGGUCUGUUGCGUCCGCUGUGAAAACUCGGGGCUUAACCCCGAGCCUGCAGUGGAUACGGGCAGACUAGAGGUAGGUAGGGGAGAAUGGAAUUCCCGGUGUAGCGGUGAAAUGCGCAGAUAUCGGGAGGAACACCGGUGGCGAAGGCGGUUCUCUGGGCCUUACCUGACGCUGAGGCGCGCAGCGUGGGGAGCAAACAGG
rnacentral:rRNA from 1 species